GAUCAUGUCUUUGAUUUAUUAUCUGAGUGCAGCAGAGAGUGGAUUUGAAGCAGCUCAGUUUAAUGUGGCGUACCUGUGUGAACUCAACUCAGUGAGUCCAUUCUAAACACUUGCUUUAGAUUCAGAUGAACAUGUUCACUCGAUUGGCUUUGACAGAUAUUUUAUAUCUUUAUAUUGCAGGGCUCUUUGGAUCCAGCGCUGGUGACUCAGUGCAUGUUAAGAUAUUAUAACAUGUCGAUACAGACUCAAGAUCCGGCUCCGUACGGUAGUUGUAACAAAUCCAAGACUAAAAUACAAAUUAAAAUGAUUUUAAAUAAAAAAGUUAUAACAAAUAUAAAAUGUAAAGAACUUUACUGGAAAGUAUUAUUUUUUUUCAAAUACAUAUUUUUAUGGGAAAAGCUAAUAAUUAAAAAAGAAUAAUGUUUAUUUGUCAUUUUUUAAUUUUAUGUAUUUAUAGUUAAAAAUUUUCCAUUUUCAUGUUAGGGUCUAAUCUUUUAUAUUUCAUCUGAAAAGGUUGACAACUGCUGCAGUAGAAUAUAAAAUGAAUGUAAUUUAGUGUGGGAUACAGAGUGGCAGUCAUUUAUCUUUGUGAACUGAAACGCUCGUCAUGAAGGACACCUGAGGUUUGACUCGAUGUCCUGCGUCAGUGCAUCAGUACAUGUGUGCUCUUUCUCAAGCUCCCUGUUGCUUAAACUGGAGUCUCUGCAUGUGGUGAUGGAUGUCUGUUUCCCUCUCAGCUUUGAUCAGAAUGGGAGAUCUGUUCUAUGGUGAACAGGCUUUGGGCAGAAAAGAGGUUUCUGAUGCAGCAGAGAUGUACAAGCAAGCAGCACUCAAGAAAAAACCACAGCGUUGGUAUAAUCUUGGCCCGCUUGUCCAAAAUGGAGAGUCUCUGCCGUUCGGUGUGCUUUCUGAGCUUAAUUUGCUCCAUCUUCACUUAACAGACAGACAGAAGCUUCUCAGCACCCUUUACCAAAGAUGUCAAGAGACCAAUAGCACUGAUCCCUACCUGCCCUACACACUGGCACUGUUCAGCACACACCUGCAAUCUAUACAGCUACAUCAGGAUACAUAAAGGUCAGUUUAUUUUUGUCUUUAAAGUAGAAAUAUUGACUUUUGGAUGUCUGGAACCAAAAGCAUACUGUAACCAAGCAAGUCAGUCAACAACGAAAAAGAAAAGAAAAAACAGCCUAAAUGAACUCCUUGUUGUUUAAUUUGUUUAAUAGUUUAUAAUUGCAUGAUCGCCUCAUGGGGCAGCUCCUGUGGUUACUGUGUUAAUGGUGAAUUAUGAUUAUUCUCUGAGAUUGUCUAAUGAUGAAGGACUAAUUUUCACAAGUAGAUGUUUUCUCUGUUCCUGUAGCUCAUUGCUCAUUUGUCUUUUGUAUUUGGACUAAUUAAAUGAAGGACAAAACACUUCACCAAACAUCUGCUUCCAGCCAAAUCCAAGGGGAGGAAGAGGAGGAAUCAUAAAGAAAUCCACUACAUAAUUUUAACUACUACACAACUUAAUAUUUUUUUUUAAACAAGUCUCGAUAUUGUAUAUGGUUUUCCUCCAUGUAUGUUUUAUUAAGAGAAAAAAAAAUGCAGUAUAACUUGAAAUUUUGUUGUAAAAGAAGCACAGUCUAACAGUCUACACAAUUCUGUUUAAAUAAAGCAAUAUACAUUCAGCUUGUAUUCAGGUGGAAGGGAUAGAUCACCCAAAAAUGAAAAUCCUGUCACUGAUUCACCCUCAAGUUGUUCCAAAACUGUAUGAGUUUCUUUCUCCUGUUGAACAUAAAAGGUGUUUCAAAGAAUGUUACAAGGUAACAAAUCAGUUGAUGGUAGCCACUGACUACCAUAGUAUGGAAAAAAAUACAGUCAAUGUCAAUUGUCAACUGCUGUUACUGAAAUCCUUUAAAAUAUGUUAUUUUGUAUUUUAUAUCAAAUUUAUGGUGAGCAAAUGAUGACGGCGGACUAUCCCUUUAAACUAGUGGAUAUAAUGUAAAUGAAUUUUUAAAGUACUUUUAAAAAUGUAAGAUUUAAGAUACCUUUCUCCCUCAUUUUUGUCACUUAAAUAAUCAGAAUUUCAAAAAAUGAUAAGUAAUAAGUAAUAUAAAGUAAUAUAAAUAGUUCUUCUGAAUAAAAUAAUAUAUAUAUAUAUAUAAUUUUAAUUCCUGUUGUUUCUGAUGUAUAAUUUCUUCUGAGAGUUCUGGCUGUACCACUUUGAUGUCUCAAGAUUAACUCAUUUUUCCCUUUCUUGGAGUCGGGCCACUCUGCCUGUGUCUAAUGAAAGAGUGCAAGGACUCCCCAGGCUUCUUUGCAGACUGAUGCAAACAGCAGGUGUGCAGCAGGCUGUGAUGUGCCUACGGCCACACCGGGGCCCCGGGAGCACACACCGCAGCUCACACUUAAUUAAAACAACACCAAAAAGCAGACUAAUCCUCAGAGAGAGGGAGUGCACCACAUUGUGUCAAGUAUCCAAUCAUCAGGGGAUGGUAAUCUUAUUGCGUUUACAUGCAAAUAAUGUGAUGCUUACUGUGAGACCCAUUCUGGUGCCUCGUCAUGAUUUAUGCAUUUUGUUUGUGCUCUUGGGCUAACUUACAAUACACCUAAUAUAAAGAUAUUUAUUAAAAAGUUUUUCUAAAUUGUUUAGGGAAUAUGCUGGAUUCGCCCCACCAUUCAAUCACUGUAAUAGCUAAAGAAACAUAUUUUAAAGUCCUCAAUCAUCAUAAAAAAUCAUCAUAAAAAAAUUGCGUCUGAGCUGUCUUUCUCCCCGGCUGGCUUUUAUAUAUAAUUGCUGAGCUAAAAGGCACCAGAGGAGUGUUAGAUAUUUGCCACUUUUGGUAAAAAAUAGGGCUUGCAAAUCCGAUGUGUAAGUCAAAGUAAGUGAAAGGAGGUGCUUAGUCUUUCAAAUAUGUUUUUCAUCCAUACCAGGAAUUCAAACUAAAUGUUAGCUUUAUUAUUAUUAUUAUUAUUAUUAUUAUUAUUAUUAUUAUUAUUAUUAUUAUUAUUUUGCAUUACCAAAUGUUGCUUUGCAUGGUAGUUAUGAUUAACUUUUCCAAACGUUUUACAAAUAUAUAUUAAUUUGAUCCAAUUAAAAACAGAUACUUUAAUUUGUU
rnacentral:lncRNA from 1 species